CGGAACGCAGCGCUCCGGGCGCCCAGCCGGCCAGAGGACACGACGGGAAACACGGGCAGAAAAGGGCAGCCCGGCAUUGCUCACCCCCUUGGCUUAUUCGCCUGACGCUGGCAGAACUGCUGUAUCAGAAAGGGAAAGCCUCGCUAAAGCCAGGUAAUCCAGUUUGCAAUCAGCCUCAGGGACAGGACUAGUCCCAGUGACUUAAGGGAGGCCAGGACUUAUCCCAGCAAGGCAGAGCUGCACCUUUCUCAGGGUAUUGGCCGAGGCUGUGAUGUCUGAACCACCGCUGUGGCUGUGACUGCUGCCCAGGUGGGCUGCAGGUAACACCGGUAAGGAAAGAGAGCCUGUGGUCCAGAGAACAAAGAGCCAUCCCACAACCUCCUUUUCCUCAGGUUACACGCUCCCUACAAUAAAGCAAGGAAUUACUUCCAUCAAAUGGAUGAAACACCACAGCAAACAAGAACACAAAAUUGUGGAAACAUGACACAUGCUGUGCAAAAUCCCAGAGGAUUACAUCAAAGGCCAGGUGAAGACACUUGACAAGGGUAAUUUGAGAGUUACACAUCUGAACAAUGGAAACCAGUGCCUGCACUGCAAGAGCACAGGAGUUUCCAUGCCGCAAGUCAUUCCGGUUUUGGAUGUAUUUCUGUCAACACAGCUUGGAAGGGAAAGUAACUGCUGUUACAUCCUAAAUAAAACAAGAGUAGCAACAUUUGUUGCUAGUGUCCUCUAAAGUAUUUGUUUGAUUUCGAAAGGGGACUAAAUAUGCAUCUGAAGAAAAAGUCUAUUGCUUUAAUCCUGGAAACAAACGUGGCAAAGUGCUUGAGUUUCAGAUCUUUCUUUGACCUGAGGACAUUACGAGUACCAACAUGGAAAAUGUUACCUGUAUUUGCCGAUUAAGAAACAGAAAAGUAAGAAAACUAUAAGCCAUGAAGACAAAAACUGAAAUGAAUACAAAUGGGGAGAAAGGUGAAAUUAAAAAAACAAACAAAAAAAAA